AUUGAACGCUGGCGGAAUGCUUUACACAUGCAAGUCGAGCGGCAGCGCGGCCUUCGGGCUGGCGGCGAGCGGCGAACGGGUGAGUAAUGCAUCGGAACAUGCCCAGUCGUGGGGGAUAACACUUCGAAAGAAGUGCUAAUACCGCAUACGUCCUGAGGAGGAAAGCGGGGGAUCGCAAGACCUCGCGCGAUUGGAGUGGCCGAUGUCAGAUUAGCUAGUUGGUGGGGUAAAGGCCUACCAAGGCGACGAUCUGUAGCUGGUCUGAGAGGAUGAUCAGCCACACUGGGACUGAGACACGGCCCAGACUCCUACGGGAGGCAGCAGUGGGGAAUUUUGGACAAUGGGGGCAACCCUGAUCCAGCCAUUCCGCGUGAGUGAAGAAGGCCUUCGGGUUGUAAAGCUCUUUCGGCAGGAACGAAACGGUGGGCUCUAACAUAGUCCGCUAAUGACGGUACCUGAAGAAGAAGCCCCGGCUAACUACGUG
rnacentral:rRNA from 1 species